rnacentral:rRNA from 1 species
CCUACGGGCGGCAGCAGUGGGGAAUAUUGCACAAUGGGGGAAACCCUGAUGCAGCGACGCCGCGUGAGUGAAGAAGUAUUUCGGUACGUAAAGCUCUAUCAGCAGGGAAGAAAAUGACGGUACCUGACUAAGAAACCCCGGCUAACUACGUGCCAGCAGCCGCGGUAAUACGUAGGGGGCAAGCGGUAUCCGGAUUUACUGGGUGUAAAGGGAGCGUAGACGGCAGCGCAAGUCUGGAGUGAAAUCCCAUGGCUUAACCAUGGAACUGCUUUGGAAACUGUGCAGCUAGAGUGCAGGAGAGGUAAGCGGAAUUCCUAGUGUAGCGGUGAAAUGCGUAGAUAUUAGGAGGAACACCAGUGGCGAAGGCGGCUUACUGGACUGUAACUGACGUUGAGGCUCGAAAGCGUGGGGAGCAAACAGGAUUAGAUACCCCAGUAGU